rnacentral:lncRNA from 1 species
GAUACCUAAAAUAAACAUAAGGGACCAAAUUGAUACUUUUUAAACGUAAGAGACCAAAUUGAAACCUAAAAUAAAUGUAAGGGACCAAAUGUGUAGUUAAGCCGUAAUUGUACAAACUAUGAGAUACAACAUCAUAAUAAAGCCCCAAAUGUGAAAGCGCCAAUCAUGUUAUCCUUUGAGUAUCUUCACACCCAAGUUCUUUUUGUGAUAAGAUGUAUUCAUCUAAUAGAUUCUCUGAUAAUUAAGCACAAUGUGUUUUGGUUCACUUCAAUCAACCACAACUCACCCAUGAAGUGUCUGUUACAAAGGUAACAUAGAGCACAAAGAUUUCAUUUAAUUACAUGAGACUUGGAACAAAAAAUUAAAAAUAAAAUUCAAUAAUAUAGGACAAAAGUUUAACAAUUGAAGGACAUCUGUUAAUAGAAGGUUAGCAUAAAAAUAAAUAAAUUAGCAAGCUAUGCAAAAAGAGCUUAAAUCUUACACACAAAACAUAAAUCUCACUUUCUCUACAUAAUUUUUCUUCUAUAUAUUAAAAAAAGUUUGUCCCAUAAAAAAUUUGUUAAAGAAAGUAUAUGCAUAUUUAGUUUUUCUUUUUAAAAAGAAAAAACAGAAAGAAGGAAAGUCUCAACAAAUUAUUCUCUUUACCUCACAGGGAUAUGAUGCCUACAUAAAUUAGGAGAAACAAAAAGGGAGGCAAAUUGUAAAGCACAAAGCUGGUGGCCAAAGAGAUUGAUAAGAAGACAUUUAUAGCGUCUAAUGUUUAUCCAAAGAGAUUGAUUCAAGGGGAAUAUGAUUCUUAUAGCUUGCCAUAUUCUCAGUCAGAACACCAGAUAUAAAAAAAAUGUCUACCUAAAAAACGGGUGGCCUUGUGGAGCAAACUUAAUGUUGAGCAAACAUUAAUAAAGUCAAAGUUAAAAGUUAUUUAAAAACUCACAAACUGAGGGAAGAACUUAAAUGUUAACCAAAAUGAUAUACAUAAGGUUUAAUUUAAGUCAAGCUUUGUGAAUAAAUCUCAAUACUUGUGAGAUCUUUCCCUUUAUAUACAACCAUGUCACAAAUGUUUUAGAAUUUGUAAAGCUAGCUCCACUCAUGCUUCUAUAUAUGUCCACAUAUCUUAAUGGAGUUCUCUUCUUUAUACUUAAUUCAAACAUUACUCUUGUAAAUCUAUUGCUUAGGGUAACCUACCUGUUCCAUAUAAAAAUAUUUUUUCUGCUAAGCCCAACAUUAUGCAAAAAGAGAACAAAAAGACUGUUAACAAAAGAAAAUCUUAACAUUGUUUGAUAACAAAAUGAUAGUGCCAAUGUUUUUAUUAUUCAUCAUUUAGUUUUCAUCAACACAAAGCAAACUCUAUCAAUAUUUUGAGUGUAUUUGUAGAAUCUCAUUUAGUUUUCAUCAACACAAAGCAAACUCUUACAAUAUUUCUCAUGUUAAAGUUAAGGUUUCCAAAGAUAUGACAAUAACUAAGAGUGAGCAUGCACAAUCAUUAAGAUGAAAAUUUGAAAACAAAAGACAACUUUUACUUCUGAAGCACUCACCUAUCACAUAUAUUGUUUAAAGACCCCAAAUCAUGAUAGAAAUAUAAUCAGAGAUUAAAGUAAAAAUCAUACUAAAAUAUCAAUUGAAAGCAAGAGUCAUUAUGUGCAAUAAAUAAUUAUGCUAAAAUCAUGCUAAAAGAUCAAUUAAAAGAAUAUAAUUAGUUAUCAUACUAUCCAUUUUUACUUUAAAAGAUCAAUCAAAAGUAGCCAUUAAAAUCACAUUUACUGGUUGUAGUUGUGCAUAAACCAGUAGUAUGUCUAACAACCAGAAUCAUAUGCCUUCCCACCUCCAUUCUUAUUUCAAUCUUUUAAAAAAGUAAAAGCCUCCAUAGAGUUUUGUCUGCUACCUUGCAAAAACAGUACAGUUUUGAGGCUUCAAAAGUUAACAUUUAUGAUGAGAGUUAGAAGAAUCUUGAAAAAACACAUUAGAUAAAGAACAAAUCAUAUACAACUCAAACUAACUAACAUCUCAAUAAUCAACCACCACUUCACCACUUAAUAUGAAUCCAACAACCAUCGUCAAGCACAACCAGAACCAUAGAUCAUUAUGAUAAAGCAAAACACAACAAUCAAUAAGCAUGUUUACACAACAAUAUUCCAAUUGUCAAAUUUCAACUACAAUGCAGGUUUAAACAUACCCAUGAAAUAAAAUUCAAUUGGGCACAAAGAUCAAAAGGGGUCUGCAAAUAAUUAUAUAUAAAAAAAUCACAAAACAAUAAAUAAUUGUUUUUGAUAUUGUUUACCUACUAAUUACUC